GAUGAAGAACGCAGCGAAAUGCGAUAAGUAGUGUGAAUUGCAGAAUUCAGUGAAUCAUCGAAUCUUUGAACGCACAUUGCGCCCCUUGGUAUUCCAUGGGGCAUGCCUGUUCGAGCAUCAUUUGUACCCUCAAGCUUUGCUUGGUGUUGGGUGUUUGUCCUCUCCUUUGCGUUUGGACUCGCCUUAAAGCAAUUGGCAGCCAGUGUUUUGGUAUUGAAGCGCAGCACAAUUUGCGAUUCUAACCGACUACACUUGCGUCCAUAAGCCUUUUUUAACUUUUGACCUCGGAUCAGGUAGGGAUACCCGCUGAACUUAAGCAUAUCAAUAAGCGGAGGA
rnacentral:misc_RNA from 1 species